GAGAUAUAUGGACUUCAGGUGAAUAACCGUAGAGAUAUAUGGACUUCAGGUGAAUAACCAUAGAGAUAUAUGGACUUCAGGUGAAUAGCCGUAGAGAUAUAUGGACUAAAGUGAACCAUUUUGAUGUUUUUUUUUUUUUUUUUUUUUUUGUCGAAAGAACACAGCUGCUUUGUUGAGGAAAAAUGUACUAUGACAGAGAUAUGUGGUUGUCCCACCUAGUGAUCUUAAUUAAGCUGAAUGCACGGUAAGUCGCUCCGGAUAAAUGUGUCUGCUAAAUGACUCAAAAUGUAAAUGUUAAAAUGCAGGCAUUUCCUGUAAAUCACAGAGAAUCUUCGAGUGCUGAGAAACACAGUGUGUGUU